rnacentral:rRNA from 1 species
AUUGAACGCUGGCGGCAUGCCUAACACAUGCAAGUCGAGCGGAGCGGCGGACGGGUGAGUAAUGCCUAGGAAUCUGCCUGGUAGUAGGGGAUAACGUCCGGGAACGGGCGCUAAUAACGCAUAAUAUCAGAUGACCCUAGGUCGGAUUUGGUAGUUGGGGGGGUAAAGGCCUACCAAGGCGAAGAUCCGUAACUGGUCUGAGGGGAUGAUCAGUCACACUGGAACUGAGACACGGGCCAGACUCCUACGGGAGGCAGCAGUGGGGAAUAUUGGACAAUGGGCGAAAGCCUGAUCCAGCCAUGCCGCGUGAGUGAAGAAGGUCUUCGGAUUGUAAAGCACUUUAAGUUGGGAGGCGUUACCAACAGAAUAAGCACCGGCUAACUCCGUGCCAGCAGCCGCGGUAAUUC